GACGAACGCUGGCGGCGUGCUUAACACAUGCCAGUCGAACGGGCCUGUCUUCUUUUUUGGGGGUGGGUUGAGUGGCGAACGGGUGAGUAUCACGUGAGUAACCUGCCCUUCGGUCCUGGAUAACCGCUUGAAAGGGCGGCUAAUACGGGGUGGUCCGGUUGGUCCGCAUGGGCUGGUCGGGAUAGAUUCACUGUUUUUGGUGUUUCGGCGGGGGAUGGGCUCGCGGCCUAUCAGCUUGUUGGUGGGGUGAUGGCCUACCAAGGCGGUGACGGGUAGCCGGCCUGAGAGGGUGGGCGGCCAAACUGGGACUGAGAUACGGCCCAGACUCCUGCGGGAGGCAGCAGUGGGGGGUAUUGCACAAUGGGCGGAAGCCUGAUGCAGCGACGUUGCGUGAGGGAUGGAGGCCUUCGGGUUGUGAACCUCUGUUUCCGGUGGUGAAGGCCCUGUCCGUGUGGUGGGGUUGACGGUAGCCGGGGAUGAAGCGCCGGCUAACUACGUG
rnacentral:rRNA from 1 species